CUGCAGAAAAUGUAAACAGUGAAUCCACUGACCUAACAUUAUCAUGUCCUUCGUUUACGACAGUUUUAAUGAGACUAAUUGGUCGCAAAAUUGUGGACUUCUAGGAAAUGUUAGCGGUAGAUGUGACACUUGCAAUGAUUGAUAUGUUAAAUUAUGACAAAUCUUACAACAAGGAUGGUUUUGUUUUAUGGUAGAACAAUAUUGACAGAGUAACGAAAAAACAACAACAAAAAACCCCAAACCUUCCAUACGAGAAGGAGCGUGGUUUUCAGGGAACCAUAUGUUGUAAGAACAGACAGUAAACUAAACAAGCUCCUUGGGGACUUCAUUUCAAGGGAGAUCAUUCAUGAGAAUUGGAAGUGCCAAUCAAACGAAUUUACACUUGCCGAAAAAGAAAACCAUUGCUAACUUUGACAUGUAACAAAAACGCAGAUCAACUGAAUGCUAGUGGGGAGUUAUUUGACGACUAAAGUAAGUUUUUCUUUCCAUUUUAGGCUGCCGCCCCCAAGCCCCCGCUUAAUUACGCUAUUUACGCGACUAGGCUUUCUUUUUCUCGAUCAAACUUUGCUUGCCGCUUCAAUAACAAAUAAACAAUAACAUUGUAGUAAUUAUUGUGGGCUUCCGCUCCCAAGCCCCCGCUUCAUUACACUAAAACGCAACUAGACUUUCUUUUUUUCACUCCUUCCCACCUCACGCGGAUCUAAAAUCAAAAUGGCGGCCGUACCGGUUGUCACAUUUACGGUGUUACAUGUUUGUACAGUAUGUUUUCAGUUAUCCUGUAGAGGACCCCUCUAGUCAAACACCCUUCAGAGAACCCCUCGAUACCUGUAUUUAUUCACCUGAGUUUAGGAUUUCACUCUCUUCGGACCGUGUUCCACGCAAUACAGAAGCAUGAGUUCCUGCAAAUUCUCUUUUUGUCAAACUCCUAAGUUAAAGUUAGAAAUUCAUACAGACACGACUUCUGAGGUCCGGUGUAAUGAAUCAUGGUACUUGGUGUUCAACGUAAACUGGACCAAAUGUGAACAUUGCUAGUAACGAAUACCCGAGCCAGCAGUGGAGAAUGACUAUAUACAAUAUAUCUGUAAUAUAAAGUGAAAACGUUUGAAA